rnacentral:snRNA from 1 species
UGAUGUGAGGGCAAUCUGGCUGUAACAUGAUCACCAGGGUUGAUUCAUCUGAUCUGGCUGGCUAGGCAGCUGUCCCCUUCCUCCCUCACCGCUCCAUGUGCAUCCCUCCCGAAGCUGCACACUCGGUCAAAGAGGAUGACAUUCCCCGAUAGAGGAGGACCAUCAUUGGUCAAGGGUAUCUGAGUAGCUGUGCUCUGCUGCUAGAACCUCCAAACAAGCUCUUAAGUUCCAAACAAGCAUGAUGGCUCAUACCUGUAAUCCCAGCUCUUUGGCAGGCCAAAG